UAAGGUUGCACAACAUAAUAGCAACCAGACAACAAGAAAAUCUCAAUAGGAAUCAGAAGAAGAGAGAAUGAAAUAUAUCAAAUAAAGUUUUGAUCUUAAUAUUUAUAAAUAACUGAAGGCUACAUAAAUAUUUCCUACAAGACUACAUGAUAUCAAGAACAAUCUUAAUAUUACAACCCCACAACAUAACUGUGAUAAAAUCGCAUGUUCCUACUCUGUUCGUUGCAUGGGUACCAUCAUAUGUUGUUGACCUUGCGCCUGUCAAGUUUCAGGAAUCUUGUCAAAUUAUAAUUAUAUACAAAUCCCACAAAAAAUAAAAAUAAAGGCAAAACAUCGCACUUAAACUAAGAAAAUCCCCCCACUAACACCUGUUUAACAGGGGGACACGUGGAAUUGUCAAAACAUCGCACUUAAACUUUACAAAAAAAAAAAGAUUUUAAAAUUUAAAAAACUAAAAAAACCUUACUAGAAAGUAGAAACGAAUACUUUUGUGUUUUCUCAAUUAAAAAAAAUCCAAUGAGAAGGUUGAUGCAUGCCCACAUAAAUAAAAAAAUCAAUAUAACUUUCUACUUUGGGUUGUACCACAAAGGCACAAAAUACAAUGUUUCCUCUUUAAAAAGAUUCUUUUUUCCAGAUUUUCCUAUUGGGUUUGACUAAAGAUAUUUACAGAUCCAGUACUAAAUUAAAAGGUUCCUAAUAGAUAUAUAUACAUAACUAAAGAUAGCAUAAAAACAAAAAUUAUCAUACCAACAAUCUAAUCCAAUCCAAUUAAAUAGUACCUGUGAGUUUCCAUAGUUCGGACCUUGUGUGUAUGGAUUUUGAAUGCCAAACUGUAGAAAAAAAAAAUUAACAUUAGAUUCAAGUUUAAUUCAUACAUAAUUAUAAGAGUAAACCUGAUUGUUUUGUUUCCAUGUAAUUAAUUAAUUAUUACCUGUGCAUUAAGAUUAUUGUCUUUCCUGGAAGACCCUUCGUGGCCCUUUCCAGACCCCUUUGUGUCACCCUUUAAAUUAAUUACACGUAAACCAAACAUUAAUUAAUUAUUAAUUAAAAUUAAAAUAAAUUUUAUAAUUAACAUGUAAACUAACCUCCAUCUGUCCAGUAAUUUGAUCACGAGCAUAAAGAAAUCCAAACAUGAAAUCAUCAGUGAUUAAAUUAAUAAACUAUGAUUAGUAGAGUGUAAUAUUCUGAAAAUUAAUUACCUCUCUGUAUCUGUUCAAGUAGGAUUUGAGGGGAUCAAUGUAAUCUUCGAACCCUAAGGUUGCCAUUGCCCAUAGAAGAUCAUCACCAUUGAUAGUUUUCCUCUUUUCCCUUAGACACUUAUCACUUGCCCUGCAUCCAAUUCCAAAUAACGUACAGAUCUAGAUCUACAUAAAAUCAGAUCAACAAUACAUGUAUAUACAAACUAAUUAACACGCAGGUUUAG
rnacentral:lncRNA from 1 species